GUGGAGACUGGGUUUCACCAUGUUGGCCAGGGUGGUCUCGAUCUCCUGACCUUGUGAUCUGCCUGCCUCACCUCCCAACCUGCUGGGAUUACAGGUGUGAGCAACCGCACCCGGCCUAUUUUGCAUUAUUUUGCAGUCCUUAUUUUCUCAUAUGCCACACCCAUUCUAUCACUUUCACUUUUAUCAAAUUUAACAAUCAAUUUUUUUUUUUUUUUUUUUUUUUGGAGAUGGAGUCUCACUCUGUUGCCUGGGCUGGAGUGCAGAUUGUAGUGCGUGAUCUGUCUCCCGGUUUCAAGUGAUUCUCCUGCCUCAGCCUCCUGACUAGCUGUGACUACAGGCACGUGCCACCACACCUGGCUAAUUUUUGUAACAUUAAUAGAGACAGGGUUUUGCCAGACUGGUCUCAAACUCCUGACCUCAGGUGAUCCACCUGCCUUGGCCUCUCAAAGUGCUGGGAUUACAGGCAUGAGCCACUUCACCUGGCCACAAUCACUUUUUUGAUACCUAGUUUGAGUCAAGUCCUGAGAUACUGAGUUGAUUUCAAUAAACAGUGCUUAUCCAUAAGUAUCUUACACGCUCAAGCAGAUAGACAGAUAUACAUAAGUUGCUAAAACAGUGUGAUUUGUUGUGUACUUAUGUGCAAAAGGCUUUGCAAAUAUUGAAAAGAAGCAAGAUAUUUUUCUUGGGGGAGUAGAAAAUGAUUUAUGGAAGAGAGAACAGUGGUGCCAGGGUUAAAUGAACAUAAUAGAUUUCACUGGCAAGGGAUGUAGGACAGAGCACUUAAAGUAAACCUUGCUCCUUGCUUGUCUGUUUCACAUUUUAAAUAUCCCAUUUUCUAUCCAUUUGUCCAAAAUUGGCCCAUUUCAAGUAGCAUUUCUAAAUUGGAUUUUUUUUUCCAUGCUGGUUGAUGCCUUUACCAUUCAUUUGAAAGUUUUCCUAUUCUACCUAGAGUUAGUUUUUUUUCAAGCUACAUAGCCAUCAUCUCCCCAAGACACAUUAUAUAGAAAUGUACAUAAUCACAUAUAUAUGGACAAAUGGCUCUUUCUAACUCCCUAGCCUGGGGAUUUGCAUAUGGUAGACAUUCAAACAGGUUUUGUUGAUCACAGUAAACCCAAAGUCCCAGUUUGUAUAGAGAGCCACAUCCAGAGUUGAAGACACUGAGGUUGGUAUCAUAUUUGGAAAAAAAUGCAAAAUAAAAACAAAAGGGAGCAGCAUAAAGCAAGCCAACAAAAAUAUUCCCCAUGCACGCUUGUCAUAAGCCUCACUCUCCUCAGGAAUUUUGCAGGAAUCACUGAUUCUCAUGGCUUUUGCUAUACAUCCCUCCAUAAAGAUAGAUGCUGCUGCUUCCUCCGUGUCCCUAAAGAAUUUGUCAUGGAGUUUUGAGGGACAACUGGAAACGGGGGAAGGAGCCCUCAUUUGCUAGGAUGGCCAUGACAAAGUAGGACUGACUGGGUGGCUUAAACAACAGAAAUUCAUUUUCUCGCAGUUCUGGAGGCUAGAAGUCUGAAUCACGCUGACAACAAAGUUGGUUUCUUCUGGGGCCUAUCUCCUUGGCCUUCAGAUGGACAAUGGCUCUCUGUGCCCUCACAUAGUCUUCCCUCUGUGCAUGCCUGUGCCCUGAUGUCCUCUUGUUGUAGACACCAGUCAUAUUGUUUUAAAGCUCAUUCAAAAAGCUUCAUUUUAACUUAAUUGCCUGUAAAGACCCUGUGUCCAAAUACUGUCACAUUCUGAGUUAGUGGGGGUGAGAACAUCAACAUACGAAUUUGAUGGAACACAAUUCAGCCCAUAACAGGGACUAAGAGCCCCACAGCAGGACUAGAAGAUAAAAGCAAAGCAGUGACUAGAGCCCAUGGGGGAUUGUAACAGGGACUGAGUCAGGGCCACAACUGGAGAUUCAUGGGGUUUACUGCAGUAAUUGGGAAGCAACAAAAGAAAUCCAAACACAGUGUUAGUGUUCAAACCAGAAGAGAGGGUCCCAAACUCCAUUUCAAGAGUCUCAUCUUGUAACAGGUGCCGGUCAAUCAAGGUAUUGCCAACAGUCACCUGCUGGGUAAAUAGAUGGUGAGGCUGGGUGCUGCAGUACUUCUGAUCUUGAUAACAGGCAUGGGGUACAGAGAAAUGAAGUCACUGCAUCAGGAGUUGAGGGCUUGGUAACAAUUUGCAUAUAGUAGACAUUCAAACACGGUUUGUUGAUCACAGGCUUGCGUUUAGAGCAGUGGUCGUCAAUCUUGAGGAUGCAUCAGAAUUACCUGGACGACAAGUGAGACACAGGUUACUGGGCCCCACCCAUAAAGUUUCUAAUUCAGUAGGUCCGGAGUCAGGCCUGAAAAUUUGUAUUUUUAACAGGUUUUUAGGUAACGCAGAUGCUGUUGGUCCAAGGAUCAAACUUCGAGAAUCACUGCUUUAGGUGCAAGGUUUUCAACCCUAGACAUA
rnacentral:lncRNA from 1 species